UGCAUUAGGUGGUGGUGGUUUUGACGACUGUUUUCUUGAUUAUUAAUCCGUCGAUUGCGUCCACGGUGGUUCAUUUUGGCGGAAUACUUUGGUUUCUGUCUUAAUAAAUUGUGGUCAGGUUCGGUUCAAGUUUUGGCGGAGUACGGGAGUGGUAGAGUCAACUAAACUAAGCAUGGAGCAGGUGGCGGAUCUUGGCGUUGGCUCGUGUGGUUAGGAAGUGGAGAUGCAGCGGGCCAUGUUGAAUUUGAAUUGGACGCUUAAAAGUGGAUGCUAAGAUCAAAAUCCUAAUUGUUUAAUUUGUUCAGG
rnacentral:lncRNA from 1 species